UUCUGAUUUAAUCAAGCAAACAAGUUUUCAACAUGUCUACUCUAACAAUCGACGAGCCAACAUUUUUGGACAAUUUCCUUUAUUAUGGCCUGUUUCUGGGUGCAAUAUUUCAGUUAGUGUGUAUAUUCGCUGUGGUAUUCAUACCUCAAAGUGAAAAUGAGGAGGAGCCACUUGAUGAGCCUGUUCAAGAGACAAAGUCUGGUGCCACAUCUCCACAAACAUCAAUGAAAAAAGGUGGUAAAAGGGAGAAAAAGAAGCACCGCUGAAAGGCUGCUUGAUUGAAUCUCAUUCAUUAGAAUCAUUACUCAUUAAUCAAGGUGUACCAACAUUCCAGUUGUGAAUAGUUAUGAUCUCUUAGUAGUGGUAUAGACUGUUUACAUGAUGACAGUGUUGUGUGCAUAAUUUACAUGUAUAUAGUUAGUAACGCAACUUGCUUGUUUAUUUUUUCUCAUGGUAAAAUAUUACACUAGAAUAUACAAUGUAUGUGUAUUACAUAGUCAAGUUAUAUGCGUUGUUAAUCAUUUCAAAAAAGAGAUCGGCAUAAUGGUGAAAACAUUCUUCCAUGACAAGGGACAAAACUGAAUGUAAAAAGAAAAGUAACUAGGUCUCCCUUAGAUGUCUUAAGGUUAGAAAUUUACCCUCUAUCAUAAUGUCAAUGUAGGUAUUUUUAUGAUGUAAGGUUAAUGCUUUAUGAAUUAAAGAUUGUCUUUAUACAUUUUCGAAAUUUAUACUGCUUUAUUCUUAAUUGAAACACAAUCUGCAUAAUUUUAUACAUGUACACAUUGUUUAAAUACUGAAGGUUAAGCAGGUUUACUCUCUCAAGUAACAGUGUAACUUACAUAAAUUUGUAAAAUGCUUACAAAAACUUAUUUUAUUUACAUACAUAUAUUUUUUCAGUUUAUUUGAAAAAUAAGCAAUUGUUAUAGCAGGGGGUCGAACGUAUAGCGGUGCGAUACUCCUUUAAGCGAGGUGAUUUCAUGCGAUACGCCCUAAUGGCGGAUUUACCCGUGUAAACACACGUCAGAGUGAGUGUUUUUUAUUAAGUAUUUCAUAAAUCUUCGAUUACAAUUGCAUAUUUUGUAUUGAGGAUGUGAAGAUAGGACCGACACACAUUUCAUCAAAUUUACAGAGGCCUAAAUUCAUAAUUUAAAAAGUUAUUGAAGGUAAACUGACGGCAACUAAUUUUGGGUCGGUGAAUAAAAUCGCUUAAUGCAAGCUUAUAUUAAUAUAGUUAAUUUCUUUUUCUUCUUUAUUCUAUAAGAGUAAUCAUUAUUAAGUUGCAUAGCAAGUACCUUUGUGCUCCGAUAUACAUAGACGCUUACUGGUCAAAAUAUUUAAGUGUACGCUGGAUUUUGGUGCGAUAAAAUAACUGUACGCUGUUAAAGGUUCGAUAUGUUUCAUUGUCACAUCUGCUGUACAUGUUUUCCUAUGAUUAUACUAAGAUAUCUACCAUAUAUGUGCCCGUUUCCGGAAUUCUAAAAUCUUCUUUCCUUAAAGAUUUACUUGAAAUAAAAGUAUUGUAUAACCAUCUAUAUAAGUGUUAGAACUUAAUUUGAAUAAUUAGUAAUAAUUAUCCUUUGAUAAUUAGGAGUUGGAAAAAGGUAACCUUUACUCUAAGAUCUUAGAUAAAAAGUAGGAAUUUGACCAAAAAUAUGUAAGAAUGAAUUUAAGAAACAAAUUACUUAAGAAAUCUUGUAUAAAUUAACUCACUUUCAAAGCAGAACAUUUCAGAAAAAUAGCUGUUAAUAUGUGAUAUAAGGGCUGUUUUACUUCAUGAGGUUCUAAGAUCUUUUGUACAUGCUGCUGUCAAACUGAUAUUUUUUCAUAUUAUAAAUAGAAUUGAACAUUUCAAACAACCUAUAAAAUACAGUGAAAGUACAUUUCACUGCUGUUCUAGAGAUAGAGACUGAGAACCAGGUGGUAAAAAUCUUUAGGUGGUAAAAUUCUUUUCUAAAAUGUUGCUUAGAACAGGCUAUUUUUGUAGUGCACAUAAUUGUGGCCUGUCAGGAAAAAACACAAAACUACAAUUUCAAAAUUCAGUCAGUCAUUGGACACCAAACAGCUCAGUGUCUUUCUUAGGAACAGCUGAUCCUCAAAUGUGCAAAUACACAGUUGUAAAUGUUACAAAAGUAAAGUACAAAUGCUGACACAUGUACAAAUAAACAAAAAGCUAUUGAGUAUAUAAUAUAAGAUUGAGUCACACUGCUUAUGGAGUAGUAUAUAAUUAAAUAACGCAUGGGUUUGUGGGUUACAGUUAGAAUAUCAUCCCAAGGAAAAUACUGUUAGCCAAGGUGUUAGCCGAGGGAAACAGUAUUUUUAGGAGGGUUGAUAUUUUUACUGUUACUCACACACGCUUGUGUGUUAUUUAUAUUAUUUCCCAAACAGAUACUGUAAUCUAUAAUACUUUUAUUUACAUAAAACGCACUUGCCCAGAUUCUGUACUGUUAAAAAGUGCUGUUAUCCUGUAACAGUACAAAUCUCUUGGUACACUUUCUUUAACAAUAAGAGUAACUCCUAGUGGAAAUGAAUAUUUACAAAAAAGUGAGGGGUAAUGUAUACAUUAAAUGUUGCAGAGAAAGCCUAGUUUUAAAAGUAAAACUACUGGCAGAUAUGUUAAAUCACUAAAAGUAUGAAUCCUGUUGACAAACAUCAGAAUUACUGAAAUACAAUGAUGUGCUCUGUAUAUAAUAUAUAACAUCCAAUCCAUAGAGGAAAUCAAACCAGUAUUUUUUUUUAUAAAUUUCAAGUUCCAUUGCAAAAAAAAAAAAAAAAACUAAAUGGAAGAAACAAAACGAAUAUUAUCGUGACUAUUGAUUAUUUGAUAGAAUUUCAAAUUUCUGUGCAUAACUUAUCUCAUUUUAAUGAUUAACAUUUGUUAGAAAAGAAUAUUUAAAUUAACUAUAUCAUAGUAUAAUACAUUAAUUGACACUGUUGUUUUAAUUGACACUGUGGUUUACAUAUGAUUAACAUACAAACUCAAAACUUGAUAUUUCAUCAAAACUGAAUAAGAAUGUACUGUUCUGAGGAAGCUACAGAAAAACAUACCAACAUUUGUGCGUACAGUUGGUUUAUCGGACCAAAUAUUAGGCAUACAGUAAGAAAACUGGAAAUAUUUUAUAUAUUUUCGGAUGUAUAUGGAAAACUACUCUUGUAUAUCGUUUUGUUUUCAAAAAUAAACAUGUUGGGACCUAAACUAAUCGAAUAUCUCGUUUUAAAACGACUGAUACAUUAUUCGUUUGCAUGUGCAUAUCAGGUUGACGGUUGAAUUUGCAGCAACAAAUACCUCAAUAACUUCCUCAAUUCCAUAAAAUUUAGUAUUCUAUUUUGACAAUCAUGCACAUUUAUAAGUUCUAAUCAGCAUGCACAAUGCUAUUCUUUAAAAAAUUACAAAAGACAACAAAUAUUUGGAAAAAAACAUGCUCAUACCCACUUUCGUUUUCGCUCCCGUCCGCCAUUAGGGCGUAUCGCAUGAAUUCACCUCGCUUAAAGGAGUAUCGCACCGCUAUACGUUCGACCCCCUGUAUAGUGUCAUUUUGUUAUAUCUAUGCAUUAAAAGCCUUUUAGUAUAUUAUAUUUUACAUAUCAUUAGAUUUCAAUAUUUUUACAGUAUGUUUCCUAAAUAAAAUAUUUGUAAAUGAUCAA